rnacentral:rRNA from 1 species
UGGGGAAUAUUGGACAAUGGGCGCAAGCCUGAUCCAGCCAUGCCGCGUGAGUGAUGAAGGCCCUAGGGUUGUAAAGCUCUUUCACCGGUGAAGAUAAUGACGGUAACCGGAGAAGAAGCCCCGGCUAACUUCGUGCCAGCAGCCGCGGUAAUACGAAGGGGGCUAGCGUUGUUCGGAUUUACUGGGCGUAAAGCGCACGUAGGCGGACUAUUAAGUCAGGGGUGAAAUCCCGGGGCUCAACCCCGGAACUGCCUGUGAUACUGGUAGUCUUGAGUUCGAGAGAGGUGAGUGGAAUUCCGAGUGUAGAGGUGAAAUUCGUAGAUAUUCGGAGGAACACCAGUGGCGAAGGCGGCUCACUGGCUCGAUACUGACGCUGAGGUGCGAAAGCGUGGGGAGCAAACAGG